ncrna:unclassified sequences DTF3800-XI RNA
UGGUCUGGUCGAAAGACUCAGGUCCACCGAGCGGCGGGGGAUUUCCCC